rnacentral:rRNA from 1 species
UACAGAGGGGGCAAGCGUUGUUCGGAAUUACUGGGCGUAAAGGGCGCGUAGGCGGCCUUCUAAGUCGAACGUGAAAUCCCCGGGCUCAACCCGGGAACUGCGUCCGAUACUGGAAGGCUUGAAUCCGGGAGAGGGAUGCGGAAUUCCAGGUGUAGCGGUGAAAUGCGUUGAUAUCUGGAGGAACACCGGUGGCGAAGGCGGCAUCCUGGACCGGCAUUGACGCUGAGGCGCGAAAGCUAGGGGAGCAAACGGG